AGACCCGAAACCCGGUGAUCUAGCCAUGGGCAGGUUGAAGGUUGGGUAACACUAACUGGAGGACCGAACCGACUAAUGUUGAAAAAUUAGCGGAUGACCUGUGGCUGGGGGUGAAAGGCCAAUCAAACCGGGAGAUAGCUGGUUCUCCCCGAAAGCUAUUUAGGUAGCGCCUCGUGAAUUCAUCUCCGGGGGUAGAGCACUGUUUCGGCUAGGGGGCCAUCCCGGCUUACCAACCCGAUGCAAACUGCGAAUACCGGAGAAUGUUAUCACGGGAGACACACGGCGGGUGCUAACGUCCGUCGUGAAGAGGGAAACAACCCAGACCGCCAGCUAAGGUCCCAAAGUCAUGGUUAAGUGGGAAACGAUGUGGGAAGGCCCAGACAGCCAGGAUGUUGGCUUAGAAGCAGCCAUCAUUUAAAGAAAGCGUAAUAGCUCACUGGUCGAGUCGGCCUGCGCGGAAGAUGUAACGGGGCUAAACCAUGCACCGAAGCUGCGGCAGCGACACUGUGUGUUGUUGGGUAGGGGAGCGUUCUGUAAGCCUGUGAAGGUGGCCUGUGAGGGUUGCUGGAGGUAUCAGAAGUGCGAAUGCUGACAUAAGUAACGAUAAAGCGGGUGAAAAGCCCGCUCGCCGGAAGACCAAGGGUUCCUGUCCAACGUUAAUCGGGGCAGGGUGAGUCGACCCCUAAGGCGAGGCCGAAAGGCGUAGUCGAUGGGAAACGGGUUAAUAUUCCCGUACUUGGUGUUACUGCGAAGGGGGGACGGAGAAGGCUAUGUUGGCCGGGCGACGGUUGUCCCGGUUUAAGCGUGUAGGUGUGUGUUCCAGGUAAAUCCGGUUCACUUUAACACUGAGGCGUGACGACGAGGCACUACGGUGCUGAAGCAACAAAUGCCCUGCUUCCAGGAAAAGCCUCUAAGCAUCAGGUAACAUCAAAUCGUACCCCAAACCGACACAGGUGGUCAGGUAGAGAAUACCAAGGCGCUUGAGAGAACUCGGGUGAAGGAACUAGGCAAAAUGGUGCCGUAACUUCGGGAGAAGGCACGCUGACACGUAGGUGAAGUGAUUUACUCAUGGAGCUGAAGUCAGUCGAAGAUACCAGCUGGCUGCAACUGUUUAUUAAAAACACAGCACUGUGCAAACACGAAAGUGGACGUAUACGGUGUGACGCCUGCCCGGUGCCGGAAGGUUAAUUGAUGGGGUCAGCGCAAGCGAAGCUCCUGAUCGAAGCCCCGGUAAACGGCGGCCGUAACUAUAACGGUCCUAAGGUAGCGAAAUUCCUUGUCGGGUAAGUUCCGACCUGCACGAAUGGCGUAAUGAUGGCCAGGCUGUCUCCACCCGAGACUCAGUGAAAUUGAACUCGCUGUGAAGAUGCAGUGUACCCGCGGCAAGACGGAAAGACCCCGUGAACCUUUACUAUAGCUUGACACUGAACAUUGAGCCUUGAUGUGUAGGAUAGGUGGGAGGCUUUGAAGUGUGGACGCCA
rnacentral:rRNA from 1 species